UGAGUAAUGUCUGGGAAACUGCCUGAUGGAGGGGGAUAACUACUGGAAACGGUAGCUAAUACCGCAUAACGUCGCAAGACCAAAGAGGGGGACCUUCGGGCCUCUUGCCAUCAGAUGUGCCCAGAUGGGAUUAGCUAGUAGGUGGGGUAAUGGCUCACCUAGGCGACGAUCCCUAGCUGGUCUGAGAGGAUGACCAGCCACACUGGAACUGAGACACGGUCCAGACUCCUACGGGAGGUAGCAGUGGGGAAUAUUGCACAAUGGGCGCAAGCCUGAUGCAGCCAUGCCGCGUGUGUGAAGAAGGCCUUCGGGUUGUAAAGCACUUUCAGCGAGGAGGAAGGUGGUGAGCUUAAUACGCUCAUCAAUUGACGUUACUCGCAGAAGAAGCACCGGCUAACUCCGUGCCAGCAGCCGCGGUAAUACGGAGGGUGCAAGCGUUAAUCGGAAUUACUGGGCGUAAAGCGCACGCAGGCGGUUUGUUAAGUCAGAUGUGAAAUCCCCGGG
rnacentral:rRNA from 1 species